GCUAAAUAAACGUGUGUUUGCAAUGUUUGAUGCAUAUUAUUGCACACAAAAAUAAAAAGCAUUUUCUCAGUCUUGUCAAAUUUAUGAUCGGCUGGUUUCCUUUCAGGAUUAUAAAUUCAUUUGGAACGAAACUCUAGAUUAAUACAGCGAGUGCUUUUAAGGAUGAAAUAAUAACUGGAUUUAACAAGUUCAACACAUUUGACAAGGUGAGUGGCAUCAAAUCUUUAAAAUACCUGUACAUAAAUCGUUUGUUUGAGGCUGAUGUUCCAUUCUGUUACUUUUCCAAGCUAGUGUGGGUUGGAUGGAUUUAAUGUCUUUAUAAAUAAAGUGUACAGACAAGAGACUUUGUGAGGAUGUUUGAAGUGGUGCUCACAAUUUGAAAGGCUAAUAAAAUGGCCAGAAUCGUGUCACAAAGCAAAGUGUUUGGAAACAAAAUUGAUCUGCUUUUGUUUACAGGCUGGCAGAUACAAAAGUCCAUCUUCUGCCUGGAUUUUACUUUGAUUAUUGUGAUUGGUUCCCCUCAGUUACUCAACAGCCGCAGCAGCAUUUGUUUCUCUCCUUGUGUCUCUCUCCCUCCUACACUGUCUAUGCCUCUCUGCUCUCUGGUUUGAAAGCAGAUUGGUGAACGGGCACGUAAACCUGUUCCUCCAUACUGAGCCAAAGAGAAACUGUAGAUGAGAGCUCAGAGCAGUGGAAGGAUGGAACAAUGGGAGGACAGGAGAAAGGCAGGUUGAAGGGAAUGAGAGAUGCGAGAGAGAACAGGCUUCCGUGCCUGGCGAGCAAAGCCACGUCAUGGGCAAUUUGUCACAAGGUCGGGGGCCAUGAUGGAGGAUAGCGACAUCUUAACUCCCAUGGAGCAGCCCCACAGUGUCUAUACUAUCAGUCAGCCAAAGAUGAGGCGGACUUUUCCCAUUGGAGGACGUGGAUACUCAUGCAAUAGUGUGCGGUCUGGAUAUUGUGCUGCAUAUGAACCGUUGGAAGGAAGAGGGGAGAUGAGGUAAAUUAGGACAAGAGAGGAAUCAAGAGUGAACCGCAGUUGCAAAUAUUAAAAGAUUUAAUUUGCUGGCUAAUCAUUUAGAGCCGAAUGAAGCAAUAAGUUACUGUGGUUUGUUAAUACAAUACUAAGACAAUGUAGUCUUCACUAAUAAUUAAUCCAGUGCAGGGUCAUAUGAAGAAAUUCUCUACUUUUGUCAUACCAUCGAAUUCAACUGACUAGCAUGUAGAGAGAAUCAAUAGGGGGUGAUUCAAACAAAGACUUACUGGUAGGUUGUCCAAAGCUUUCACGGUGACCAUAUCUGAGCAGAUAUCAUUUAAGCAGACCUAUCCUGCACACACACAUACCAGCACACACAUUUGUUAUUCACAUGCAUACUACACACCAUGAUCACAAAGAGAGAGAGAGAAAGAGGAAAUGUUCUCCUCAUAAAUAUUUGGACUCGGCUUAAUUGAAAGAGUGUGUCAGGCCCAAAAGCUGGGCCGAUUUUAAACAUUCUUGAGCUGGAAUCUAUUCUCUUCCUAAAUUUCUCUCAGGUGUCUCCUCGAGCUUUUGGGGAAAGAAUUAAAACAAAGUCUCUAGCACGAGAAGGUUCUGACAUACUGCUUGACCUUAAUGAAAAGUUGGAUGAAUUUAGCACGAUACUUGCAAUCCUAUCAAAAAUAUCAUUUUAUUUUUUUCACCAUCUACUGAUUUUAAUCAUACUGUUUCUCCAGUGUCCAGUCCCAGUUUACAAAAUAAUUCUGGGCAACAUUUACCUGCAAGUUCCAUAUACUGUUCCACAACAACAGGUAAACAAUGGACUGUGAAAAACACAUGGUCUGCAAUAAAACAUGGCAUAUGCAUUUUGCAUAUGUGUUGAACCAUGACAAAUACAAUUCAUGAUUCUGUCUGUUGUUAUUGGUACAUUGAGAGUGGAGGACAUAUAUAUAGUACCUUAGUUCCACAGUAAAAUAGUUACUGUGAGAUAAGUGUGUCAUCUAAAGUUAAGUGACGAGUUUUUUUUUUUUUUUUGGUGAACUGGACACUAGUUGCAAUUUGCUAGGUUAUGCAGUGCUCUGGGUAAAACAUUGUUUUGCUAAUCAAAUCCAUUUUGACUCCAGAGAGGGCUUUGAAAAGUUAAAGUGAUGCAGAAUUGUUUGAUAUUGUCGGAAACAGAGCUUUUUAUCUCCCUACUUCUCUCUCUGUUUUGGCUCAUUUAGGGAAAUUCUGUUGCAAUUUUACCAUAUGGUUCCCUUGUGGAUGAAAAGGCUUAAGUUGUGUGCAAAAAUGAUCAUGAAACUUUUAUAGUGCAUAUAUAUAUUCUCUAGACUUUGCUCUUUUGAUUUCGGUGAUACAUUAAUAGGAUAGUUCAGCUGAAAGUGAAAAUUCUGUGAUCAUUUACUUUCUUCUGUCGAACACAAAGGAACAGAUUUUGAAAAAUGUCCUAUUUUUUUUCAAUCAAAGAAUGUUGUUUUGAACCCCUCUGAGUUUUAUUGUAUGGACAACAGUUGAGACAUUCUUCAGAAUGACGUGGUGGAGUAAAUGGAGCAAAUUACGACAAUUUUCAUUUUUGAGUAAACUAUUCCUUUUAUAUUGUAUGGCAAACUUUUUUACUCCAGAUCCUAGUUUUACUGAUCUAAUGAUUCUAUUGAAAAAGGCAGUUAGUUUGGUAAUGUUUUGUAAUAAAAUUUUAAUAUUUGGUCCAAAAAAAAAAAAAGAGUAAUUUUAGGUUUAGUCUUUGGACCUGCCAGUUUCCUGCAUGUGCUCUGUCAUGCGACAGAUUUCACAUUUCAGUGCUCGCACCAACAUGAUGAUGAGUGUUCAAGACUACAGCAUAAUAGCAAUGAUCUGUUACCUGUUAACUAAGCUUCUGAGCCAAUGUCCAAAAUAGAUAAACAAUGUUCUUAAAAGAUCCUUCAGGCAUAGAUGAGUGGACCUUCAUCAGACAAGUGUCUAAAUACUUAACCUACUAUACAAAAACAGUGCAGUUCUGGCCAGAUGAGACAUUACGGAUAAUAGCAAUGAUCUGUUACCUGUUAACUAAGCUUCUGAGCCAAUGUCCAAAAUAGAUAAACAAUGUUCUUAAAAGAUCCUUCAGGCAUAGAUGAGUGGACCUUCAUCAGACAAGUGUCUAAAUACUUAACCUACUAUACAAA
rnacentral:lncRNA from 1 species